rfam:Canis lupus familiaris chromosome 12, whole genome shotgun sequence.
AGCUUUGCGCAGUGGCAGUAUCGUAGCCAAUGAGGUUUAUCCGAGGCGCGAUUAUUGCUAUUGUUUGUCACUGUAAUAGUUCAAGUAUUUCGAAGGCAAGUUCUUGAAAAGAUAAACUCCUUUAACAGAAUUAUC